UCCAACAAAUUAUUAUGAGUUUGAUGCAUGUUUCUUCAUUUCAUACUGUCAAAACAUAACAAUAUACAAUACAUGAAUGACACCUGCAAGGCUGCGGUUCACAGUUUAACAACAAUUGGAACACUUCAGCCAUGGCCGAGUUGUAACGAUUGUAUAUAAGAGGUCUUUCUCGAAGCUUGCCGAAGAUGGUCAAGUUUUAAGCUUGGUACAAUUGUUGUCUGUGUCGGUCAAGUUUCGUUUUGUUGGAAAGAUGUUUUUGGCCAGAAUCAACGCCCUUGCAGAAAAAAAGCCAACCAAAACUACCUUCAGACAAACACGGCUGAAAUUGAGCUGAAUUUGUGCAAUAUGCAGUAUAUCGAUCAAUACAUAGGUAAUGGAGUGUUUGCUAGGCAAGAGCUCUUGAAGGGGCAGUUUAUUCUCGAGUACAGAGGAGAAGUAUGUAAACAGCAGUCUGAUGGUGAUGAAAUAUUCAAAUACCAUUUCAGACAUAACAACAAGGAAUACUGCAUCGAUGCCUCAAAAGACACGUGUCUGGCAUGCAUGGUCAACGACUUGGACCGAUACACAAAGCCUAAUUGCAAAAUGGUUAAAGUUGUUGAUGACAGACAUCAACCAAGACUCUGUCUGUAUGCAACUGAAAUGAUCAGCAAAGACACUGAAUUGAGGUACGAUUAUGGUGUUGCUGAUGUACCUUGGAGAAAGCGAAAGAUGCUGUUAAAGAUGGUCAUACAGCUGCAGAUACUACAGAGGUCACAGAAACAUCUGAAGAUGCCCUCGUUGAAUCAGCAGAAGUCUUGGAACAUGCUUAUCAUGAUGCUGUAGGGAACAGUGGGACAGUUGCCCCAUCCACAGUUGCCCCAUCCACAGUUGUCUCUGAACAUGCUGAAGGGCCGCCUCAAGAUGCUGUUAAAGAUGGUCAUACAGCUGCAGGUACUACAGAGGUCACAGAAACAUCUGAAGAUGCCCUCGGUGAAUCAGCAGAAGUCUUGGAACAUGCUUAUCAUGAUGCUGUAGAAAUCAGAGGGAUAGUUUACCAUCCACAGUUGUCUCUGAACAUGCUGAAGGGCCGCCUCAAGCAAUGUUCAAGAUUUGACCCAGGAGCAGCUACAGUAUUAUGGUUGAUCAGAGUGAGAGGCAUCUGCGGAAAAUAUUUGGAGGAUAUAUUCUCUGCGAGAGACAUAUUGCAUUCAAGCAGGAAGGAAGAAGCAAAAGUAUAUAAUAUAGACUGAACCGAG